CGGGCACCCAGAGUGCCAUGCUAGGAGACACAGGCUGCAGCUUGGAGGAGCCUACCAUCACCGAGUACUCCUGGGUGCUGCAGGAGACACAGUCCCACCUGGUAAACGUCAGGGCCCCCAGCAAAGGGCUCUCCUGCCCCCCUCAAGGACCCUCUCGCUUGUCAGAAGUCCUGCUCGAAUUGCUGUGUUUAUCCCUGUUCUAAUCUUGGGGUCUUCAGAGUCAGAGAUCUGACUUCCUCCUCAUUCGCUGUCGAGUUGAGUCAAGGUAGUCAAGUUGUGCUGUGUGUGCAGGUGUACAGGUGUUGGUGUGUGUGUGUUCUCAGUGUGUGUACAGGUAUACAGGUACUGGUGUAUGUGUGUGUUCUCUGUCAUGCUGUGUGUACGGGUGUUGGUGUGUGUGUGUUCUCAGUUGUGUGUACAGGUAUACAGGUACUGGUGUAUGUGUGUGUUCUCUGUCGUGCUGUGUGUGCAGGUGUACAGGUGUUGGUAUUAUGUGUGUAGGGGGUGGGAAAGGCUCUGAGUUUUCUUGUUGACUACUUAGGAUAGUCUUUGUUGCCUGAGCUCCUGCCCCAGCUCAUUCUCUGCCCCUGUGAGAUCCUGAACAUGACCUUUCGCUGUUCCAGACACCCCUUCCUCUUCUCCCCCAGCCCCCUCUCCCCCAUGCUAUUUCACAGAGGAAAUGAGGAUACU